AAACCCCCCGGCCUCUCUGUUCGCUGCCGCGACCCCCGGCUGCGGUACCGGGACACGCGCGGCAGCACCGCCCCUCACCCGCGGCUGCGGUACCGGGACACGCGCGGCAGCACCGCCCCUCACCCCCGCUGCGGUACCGGGACACGCGCGGCAGCACCGCCCCUCACCCCCGCUGCGGUACCGGGACACGCGCGGCAGCACCGCCCCUCACCCCCGCUGCGGUACCGGGACACGCGCGGCAGCACCGCCCCUCACCCCCGCUGCGGUACCGGGACACGCGCGGCAGCACCGCCCCUCACCCCCGCUGCGGUACCGGGACACGCGCGGCAGCACCGCCCCUCACCCCCGCUGCGGUACCGGGACACGCGCGGCAGCACCGCCCCUCACCCCCGCUGCGGUACCGGGACACGCGCGGCAGCACCGCCCCUCACCCCCGCUGCGGUACCGGGACACGCGCGGCAGCACCGCCCCUCACCCCCGCUGCGGUACCGGGACACGCGCGGCAGCACCGCCCCUCACCCCCGCUGCGGUACCGGGACACGCGCGGCAGCACCGCCCCUCACCCCCGCUGCGGUACCGGGACACGCGCGGCAGCACCGCCCCUCACCCCCGCUGCGGUACCGGGACACGCGCGGCAGCACCGCCCCUCACCCCCGCUGCGGUACCGGGACACGCGCGGCAGCACCGCCCCUCACCCCCGCUGCGGUACCGGGACACGCGCGGCAGCACCGCCCCUCACCCCCGCUGCGGUACCGGGACACGCGCGGCAGCACCGCCCCUCACCCCCUAGCGCAGGAGGUCCUGGAGCAGCUCGGCGAUCUCCAGGCCGCCGCAGCGCCGCGUCGGAGGGCCCUGCUGCAGCAGCGCCAGCGCCCCCAGGAAGGCGGAGGCCAGCAGCGACCACGCCGUGGCCAGCACCGACCAGGUCGCGGCCAGCAGGGACCAGGCGGUGACCAGCAGGGACCAGGCCGUGGCCCCCAGGGACCAGACGGCAACCAGCAGCGACCAGACAGCGGCCAGCAGGGACCAGGCGGUGGUCAGCAGGGACCAGGCGGCCUCCAGCAAGAACCAGGACAUCGCCCCGGCCGCACUCCGCUCCGCCCCGGCGCUGUCCUUUCCGCUUCCCGUUCCCGGGAGCAGCGGGGCCCUGAGGGGCGAGCGGGCCGCGGGAGCCGCGCCGGAGAGCGCCGGGCGGUGCUGUGUGCCCGGGCUGCACAGAGCCUUCCCCGCGCUCCUCGGUAA
rnacentral:lncRNA from 1 species